GUUGUGAUUCUGCUUUAGUUGGGUCUGGGGGGGUCUCUCUGGAGAGUGGCUAUAAAUGCUAGCCUUUGUGCUGGGCAGCAAAGCAAAUCAUCGGGAAUAACCCGGGAGCCUGGCAGGGAAACCGCUGCACUAUGGAGAGGACGCUUCCAGAUACAGAGGACAAAUCAAGUGAAGGGACGGAACAGGUCACACCCAGAGCGGCACAGAGAUAAAAUGUGGUGUGAGGACACGGCCCAGCCCCACCGUCGUCUUCCAGCCCCACCAUCGUCUUCCAGCCCCACCGUCGUCUUCCAGUCCCACCGUCGUCUUCUAGCCCCACCAUCGUCGUCUUGGACUCUCUGGGUGGCACCACGCUGUGGGUGCUGCUCUCCUCUGUGUCCCAAACGAGUUUGUGCCUCACUUUGUCGGGUUUUGGCUGUGACUUGGAGCCUCACCAAGCUCCCUUUUCCUCUGUCUCCCAUUCUCCUCUCCAGGCCAGGGUGGCUUCCCCAGCCCUCCUCCCCGGGUCCUGCCUGUGCCGAGCCUUCCUCCCAGGAGGGAGGUGAUACUGACUUGAGAUCUUAUGGGUGUUUUGUUUGUGGCUGGGCCUGGCCGACCCUCUCUCCACGGCCUUAGAUCACACUCUGGAUGGAUAGGACAGUCGUCCUCAAUACUGAGCCUCUUUGGAGCAUACCCACUGAUGGUGGUUCACAAGCUACCCACGCCCACAGGCUGACCCAGAUCUCCGUGAAAUUAAAAAAUACUGUGAAAGGAAAAAGAGCCAAUGUCAUGUGGAUAAUGAAGUGUCAGCCACUGAAAAAUCUCAAAAUAAUAAACAUGGCUUGUUUGUCAGGGUUCUCUAGAGAAACAGCAGCAACUGUGUGUGUGUGUGUGUGUGUGUGUGUGUGUGUGUGUGUGUGCGCGCAGAGAGAAAGAAGGAGGGAGGAAGACAUAAGGAAUCAGCUCAUGCAAUUGUGCAGCCUGGCAUGUCCACAGUCUGUAGGAUGGGCCGGCACGCUGGAGACCCAGGAAAGAGCUGCAGUUUGAAUAGGAAGGCCAUGGGCGGGAGAGUUCCUUCCUGUUCAGGGGACCUCAGUCUUUCUCUAGAAGACCUUUGGCUGACCGGAUGAGGCUCAUCCACGCUAUGGACACAAAUCAGCUUUACUCAAAGUCUACUGAUUUAAACGUUAAUCUCAUCUACAAAAAGUACCUUCACAAAAACAUCUAGAACAACGUUUGACCAAAUAUCUGGGUACUGUGGCUUAGCCAGGUUGAUACAUCAAAUUAACCGUCACCUUUUGCUUAAUCUACUUUUUAAUUUGCUUUUACUUUGAAAACAAGUAAAGUUUUUGUAAGCCUCCAAGUUGAGAUUAACGAUGUGAGAAGGAGAAUCCAUAAACUUUCCUGUUGAACAAAUAGCAGAUGGAUUUUUUCAGGAGGUGGGGACCACACAGGGCUGGCCUGCUCUGACGUGGCAGCCGCAGAGGGGUGGCAUCAGCAGCAGACAGUCUCAUGUCCUCAGCCCUGCCGACGUCCAGAUCACUGUGGAGUGUAGCUAUUACUCAUGCCUUUUUCUUUGAUCUUUGCCUUUUUCCUUAUUAUUUUUUUUCCUUGCUGAAGAUAAAAAUAAAAUGGAAGUAAUGAUAAAACCACAG
rnacentral:lncRNA from 1 species